UCUAUUUUCGAUUGUAUUUGUUGAUGAGUUUGGUAAUGUAGGAAAAUCUGUGUUUUGAUCUAGUCUAUAUUGAACACUUGCUUGUUUCGGAUGUAAUUUAGAAGCUUCAAAAAAUGUUAUUUUAUUUAAUAUCAUGGAUUUUUGUAUUUGUUCUUGUCUUUUACGUUCUCUGCAAUUUCUGUCAUCAGAUCUGUGUUCUUCUUUGCAAUUCAUACAUGUUGAUUGUUUUUCACACUCAUUAUCAUGAAUUUCACUACAAUUGACGCAGUGUUUGUUUUUAGAUCUACAGUGUUUUUCUCUGUGUCCAAAUCUCCAGCAUUUUUUGCAUAAUUUCAGGGGGAAAAAAUAUGCUUCUACCUUUGCAUUAAUUCCGUAAAUGUUAAUUGUUUGUGGUAAUAAUGGUCCCUUAGCGUAAAUUUUAAUUGCACUUGUAUUAAUUAAAUUUUCUUUGGUCUUUGUGUUUUUAUCCAAUCUCUUAAUUCUUUCUAUUUUAAAAAUAUCAAUGUUCUUACUUUCUAUGUUAUUUAAUAUUUCCUCUUCUGUAAGCGAUGGUGGGAUAUUUUUGACCACACCAAUCGUUUCCUUAAACAUAUUAGGAACAAAGACUUUAAAUUUAAAUUCUUCUUUAAGAAGUUUCGAAUUGAGAAGAAUCUCUGCAUCCUUAGGUUUUUUGAAUGUGAUUUUAAAUUUUGUUCCUCCCAUAGGUUUCAUUUCUUGAUAGUUCCUGAUUCCGAUAUUAUGCAACAUUUUGGCUAUGAUCAUUGGGUGGAUACGUUUUUUAUGUGGUAAGUUAUCUUGUAAUGUUUCUUUUGAUUUUUCUUGUAAUGUUUCUUUUGAUUUUUCUUGUGAUGUUUCUUUUGAUUUUUCUUGUGAUGUUUCUUCAGUGUUUUCUUCUUUUUCGAUAAAGAAGGUUGUGUAAUGUUGGUUUUUAAUGUACUCAUUAUUGUUGUGAUUUUGAUUCUGGUUUUUUCGAUUUUUUUUUGUCGGAUUAGUGUCUUGUUUCUGUGUUAUUUGAUCAUUGCUUUUUAAUGUUUUGGUUGUGAUUGUUUUAGAUUCCUGAGAUGCAUCAGUUUCCAUUUGUGUACCUGGUUUAGAAUUAUCUUCCGAUAUGCUCCCAUCUGUGUCGUCUGAAGUCUGUGUCUUAGUUUUCUUAUUUUUACUCUUUCUAUUUCUAGUCAUUUUUUCUUCUUCACUUUCGUCUGUAAUUUCCAAUUUUCGUCGUAGUUUGUUGUUUUUAAUUAUGGGGUCUUCAAAUCCCCUAAAAUCCUCAUCGUCCUCUAUCAUAGUCCAUCAAUUUAAAUAAAUUUAUAGGUAAAAUUAUUGCAGUGGAAAAUGGUUGAUGAAAAAAACCUAACCUAAAAGUUUAGGCUUGGCUUGGUCUGAGCUUGCUCAACGGUAAAAAGAAUAUAUUUUGAUACUUAUCUGUUGGUUAUUAUUAAAAUCCUUCUCUAUACACUUCUGUCCACUCACUUCACUUUAACAAAGACAACUUUUUGUUCAGUCAAUGAGACGAAAAAAUUUUCAAAAGUUUCGUAGAAACCAUGUGGUUCCUUUACUUCGCGUUGCAAAAACCGAAACCACAAAACUUCGCGUCUAGGCGAUGUUGUCCGUUCGGCGAUUUGAGAGAGAAUGCAACCGUACUUCUUAAAUUUACGGCUCACUACAACCGGUGACAAAGUUCCGCCCUUCAUUAUCAAACGACAGCAACAGGCAGCGCAACAGCAGAAUCAAAGCGAACCAAGCAAAUUAACUUGGACGACAGAUGGACCAGGAAAAACCUUCCUCGAUUGAAAGCUGAUGAUUUAAGAGUUUCCAUAAAGAUCAGUGUCAAGUUAGGAGGACCUAUUUAGAUGCAAAGGCACCAGCAGCAGCAACAAUAGGUUGCCAGAAGCAGUGUUUUUGCUUGCCGAAUGUCGAUGGCUGAAAAAUUCUUAUCUGGCGUCGCCUUUCCUGCUCCUGAUGUUCAACAUCAUCGGAGGUCAUACCAGAUUCUGGAAAUUGGAAAGAUGCCAUCACAAGCCAACAUUAGAUUUUAGUCAUUUGUACACUAUCGCUGCAGACCGUCCUGCCUUUCUAAUGGUUUCGAGGAUAAUAUUAUAAUGUUAUUACGGAACGUUCAGUUAUGGUUUGAUGAUGACCUGGAGAAAUUAAGGCGAGACAACUGGAAAUGGCCACAAACCGGUAAGAUUAUUAUUAUUAUUAAAUAAAUAUGCCCUUAUUCUGCGCCGCGCGUGAGGUGACGUCGGUCGAGGCAUCUUACCCUCAUGGGACUCUAGUCACCUUAUUCAGAUAGUCGGGGUAAAUGAAGUGACAGAGGUUCAUUACCAAAAUUCAUCCGAAGUGACGUUCCUCACCCAAAGCGACUCCUGGAAUGGAGUGACUCGACUAUCGUCACUUCACGUGCGGCACAGAUUGAGGAUCAUGAUGCUUUUAUAAAUUAAUUAUGUUUGCACUUAAACCCUCCACUCUGGUCACUGGUUGUACAAGAAGUGAAGUUAUAGAAUCAACCGGAUGUGUGUCUGAUCAAAGUGUUGGCAUCAUAGGAUGAAUGAAUUAUUAUUUCAUGUUAGUUAGGGUUACUAUAUGUAUUUGAUAAUGAAUGUUCAUACAACUUAACAAAUUACAAUACAAUUACUGCUAUCUAAUCAUCGAGAAUAAUCGUUCAAAGAUUGGUUGAUACUUUUUAUUAGGAGAUAAGAAAUUUAAUUUAGUUUAGUAAAUUAUUUUAUUUUUGGUAAAAUGAUUCACAAGCGGCUGAUCUGAUUUUAAUUUGAUUUUUUUUUCUUAUGCUAGCAACGGUACAAAGAUGACACCAAAACUAGUACGGCGACUUCAUUCACCGAAUGAGACGUCUGCCAACCACGAAGACGAUUCAUCCAUCCGCGCUACUAUAUUGUCCCCUCUUACAAAGAUUUUGUUGAUAAAAUUAUGCCGAGAUUGCUUGAUUGUCGAUUUUGACAAUCUUUGGAUGCCACUGGAGCCAGACGUAAACCAGCGUAAUGAUAAAGCAAUAAAAUGCUUUAGUGUUGAAGUACGAUUGAGUCUUAUGCUACGCCAGGUACCGAACUUUAACGAAGUUUCAGUACCAUAGGUCUGAAGAAAGGGCUGAAAGAUGCUCAAGGCGGUUGCUCAAAUCGAUAGUUAUAAUCACGAAAACAAAACCUCAUCGCAUCACCCGGUUAAACCAUUAAAAUUUUCCUCGAUCAACGUGACGCUGGUUCCGAAUCAGCAACAGUUCGCUGCUAUCGGAAAACGGCUUCCUCCUCUUCGGCACCCUAGUCGACGGUCAGCUGGGAGGGCAUCCUAGAACUCAUCAACAUGCCCGAGGGCAGUCUUAAAAUCCCAGUCAAUUCCAUCUCGGCCUCCCAGUUAUGCGAGGGCUUGAAUUCACUCCUGUUCUGCUGUGUUACAUUUGCCGAUAACGAAACGCUUCCACCGCACACUAAGUUUCACUUCCGGGAGCUGAUCACCCGGGUAGAGAAUUAGUCGCUCUCGCUACGUUCUGGGGGCAGAAAGAAUGUGCAUGACAAUGAGAAACUUCUGCUGGAAGUCGGUCAGUCACUGAAGCAAAUCUCGAACAGGUCUUUUUGACUUGAACAACAGCCAGUCAACAAGAGUCGGUCACCGGAAUGUCAUCGUAAUUUUCAUGUCGCCUGAGUAGCCGUUAUUAAGCAAUCUGGUUUCGGCUGACCAGCGUUAUUUUAAACAACUGUUCAUUAUUCUGAGAUGGCCCCACGAGCUGCCCUCCGACUCUGUUUAAAUCGCAACUUGUCCGUGUUCAUGUUGAAAAAGGGGGUUUCUCACCGAACGAUAAUAGGUGCAACAUGGAGAACAGUAGCCUCAAUGAAUCCAUGAGUAGCAUGGACAAAUCUCAGUUCGAUAGUAGCGGCCAGUGGCUUGGUUCGAAAAAUUAUUUUUAUUCACCGGUUGGUUACGAGUCUAUCCGAGGCCUGGUUUCGGAAUCUUCAGUUGAACCAAAACUGCAACAGUCCCAUAGGAGCAACAACGGUUCGGAGAGGUUAAGGAACAAGCCAAGAAGGAGUAGAAGGCUAAGAAAUUAAUGAAGGAGUUGCCCCCGUGUUCGAGGAGAUGGAGGUGCAUUUCAUCCUUCAAUAUCUACAAAUCACAGGAGGACUUCUUUAAUGAACGUCCUGCUCAUCUUUCACAACUGUGAAAUGUACAACGAUGACGAUUCGCCGGUGGGCACAGCUGUUCAUAGAAUGUGCCAGCUUUGUAGAGGCGUUGGGCUGAACUGACCGAAAAGCCGGCCACGCAACAACCACAACGACAGCAAUCAUCAUGACAGCAGGAUCAACAACACUCCGGAUACUCAUAUUGAUGCCAGCAGUUAGCGUCAACCGUUUCAAUUACUUUAUCAGAAGUUAAUUUAAACAGUUUUACGUUAACAAUAAAUAGUUAAAUUGAAACUCGGUAAAAUAAUAGGAAACCAAGGCCUAAAAUGACCUCCUAGUGGAAAUAACAGGUUUAUUUAAUAGAUCAUGUAAAAAACUGUAGGCAAAUAGGAUUGUAGUAUUGAGACUGCGUUAGAAAAUUCCCAAAAUGAAUGUUCACUCGGUGUUGAGAGGUUCAAUUUAGUUUGGAAAUUUCAAACGUUAAACCAGGAAAAAUUGUUAUUACUUUCUAUUAUUUUAUUAUAAUUAUACAAUUAUGUUUAAUACUAGUUAUGAUUUAAAGCAUAAAUUAGGAGAAAAAUAAAAAAAAACAA